rnacentral:rRNA from 1 species
GACGUAGGUGGCGAACGUUAUCCGGAAUUAUUGGGCGUAAAGGGUGCGUAGACGGCAGGAUAAGUUAUUGGUGGUAAAUCGAGGCUCAACCUCGUGGAAACUGAUAAUACUGUUUUGCUUGAGUGCAGGAGAGGUUAACGGAACUCCAUGUGGAGCGGUAAAAUGCGUAGAUAUAUGGAAGAACAUCAAUAACGGCGAAGGCAGUUAACUAUUCUGUUACUGACGUUGAGGCACGAAAGCGUGGGGAGCAAACAGG